rnacentral:lncRNA from 1 species
CGCACAGCAAACUCCUCACCUCUUAUCUCCCCUUCAGUUCCUCUUUUCUCCUCUACAAUAGAUCAAGGAAGAUGUUUUUGCUCUUAGCUACCCAUUAAUCAUUAAUAAUAAAUACUUAUAUUUUUAGAGUCAUCACACUACCAAGGCGUUCACCAAGGCAUUUCCGGACAAAAGUUUGAGAAAGUGGCAGGGCAGGCACCAUUAUCACUCGUUAACAGAGGCCUGGCAAGCGGCCUGUGAGGGCGCAGCUAGAACGUGGGCGCGCCUGACUCAGACGCCCUAAACCCUGCACGUCCUCCAGUAAGGCACAUUCCGCAUCACCUUGGCCUUGGGACUCGGAGCUUGAGGACAGAGGAGAAAGAGGAAAGGGCCGUCCAGCUCCUGUUCCUUCCUGUCCUUCCGCGAGACAACGGCGCCCUGCGGUAACGGUUGAAGAAAGAGGGUAGCUGAAGUUCAUCUCCUAAAACUGGCUCGGCGUGCAGCAGGGACAAAGCCACUCAGCUAAGCGGGUGGCGGCAGCGCAGCGUCCCAGGCUUCCUCGUCCAACCGAGGUUGCUCGCCUUCCGCAACUCCAUAGCCCCACCUGCUGGACGCUGCUUUGCAUACAGCCUGGCCGCGCGCACCUCGCUCAGGACUGCUGCUCUCUGGGAAUCUUCAGCCACCGCCCUCAGAAACCCCCAGAAAUGAGAUAGAAUAACAAGAUGUCCACUCUACCAGAUGGAAAGAAUUGGGACUUUGGAAACUUCUAUAAAUUUCAGAACUAGGGGGAUUAAAGACAGCAGCAUCCCAAGUAAACUGAUGAAGAAAUGAAGUUCCAGAAAAUCAAACUAAGCAGCCACAGAGAACAGGGUACUUACUCAGUUAUUCACUCAGAUAUGUUAACUGAGCACCUACUGUGUUCCUGAUAGUGUUAUACAUCGAUGAGAACUCAUUUAUGUACUUCGAGUCUCUUUGCCGGGCUCCCCACCACCUUUGUCCUAUCUACCUUUCUGUCCAUUUUCUCUCUGAAUAUUUUCCCCCUGUCCUUGGUAACCUCAUUCCAGUAAAAGCAAAUUCUUCUACAUUCACAACACCCUCCAAGAAUUUUCACUAUAUCCUCCUCCUCACCACAACUAAAUCCUGGCCUUACCCCAAGAACACUGUUUUCUUUGCAGCCCUCUUGAGUGGAAGUUGUCCUUCCUCCCACAUGAGUUCUAUUUUCCUGCCAAGGGAGUGUUUGGGAUCAGCGUCCUCCCAGCUUCCCCCCUGCUGGCUCCACACUAUUAUGCUUUUACCUUCAUUUAAGGCUCUCAUGCUGUUGUUGCCAUCGAUGCCCCUGGCCCACACUGGCUGAGAAUCUUCCCAUUCACCUCUAAAC